AUCUUCUAAGGUAUCGAGAAUGUCCUGAGCAUCAGGCUGUACCAAAUCUGCCCAGGUCUCCCACAAUGGAUGGACAAUGUAGUCGAUAAAACCAACCUGGAGAAAAAUAAGAUUACACAUCUGUUAUUGUGAUGGUGCUUGAAAAGUAAACACAGUGUCCUGGUUUCCAUGCAAAGAAAGAACAUGAAUAACCAGAAAGAUCAAUCAUAAUGGAUUCCAUGAUUUGGGCACUCACUAUAUGGUGGGUCUCACACUGAAUGCAAUUGAUGUAUUCUCUCUUAAUCCUGAAAAGUAAGUAUUGCUGUAUAUUAUUUAGAAAGGCAGAAACUAUGACUUACUGAGAUUAAAUAUCUUGUCAGAGGUCACAUAACUAGUGAGUGGUGGAGCUGGGACUCAGCCCCAGCUUUGUCUGAUCCCAAAACCUGUGUUCAUCUCACUACAACAGACUGCAUUUCCUUUUACGUGCGCCAGAUAAGUCGUCUGGAUGGAAUCUUCGUGUUUUCCAGGGACCCAAAGACAAAGCACGACUCUGUCACUACUUGGAUUCUAUCACAGGACGAGAGAGCUGUAUGAAUCCUGAGAGCACCCAGUAAAGAGCUUUACUGGUGGGCCAAUCAGACGGUGUUCAGCAGAGCCCAUCGGUGGGAAACACCAGAGUGGAUAACGAUGUUAUGGCAACAGGAAGACCUGUCCCUAAGAUGGAGAGUGAAGAGCUUUGGAUGAGAGAGCUGCUGUAGUGGACCAAGAGGGCAGCUUUGAACCUGACAUGCUGGAGAAAUAUCUGCUUUAUCUAUUUUGCAAGGCUGUUUGGGGGUCCAAGUAAGAUAAUAUAUGGAAAACGUGUGAAAUGCUGCACAGAACAUCAUAUAAACAUAAAACAUCACUGCUAUUAAUAAAAUGGUGUUACUCCUCCUUA